AGUAUUUUGCAGAAAAAGCGUGUAUGGAUGAUUCUUAGCCGUAGCACAAUUUAUAAUGAUAAAAAUUAAGAAGCCCAUAUACUUUUUAAAACCCUCAAACAGAUUUGAAGUCAAAAGGGGAUAUUUUUUGUGACAAUUUAAAGUGACAAUUAAUUAAAGUGACUAUUUAAUUUGUUGCCGUUUAGGUGAUAAAGGGUGUUUUAUUUUUAAUUUUUUUUACAUCAAUAAGAUCAUUGAGGUUCCCUGGGAAUUGAAGUGGAGAAAGUCCCUUUCAUGAAAGCAGAACAGCUUGGUAUUGAUUAGAGACUAACGAUUCAAUUUGAAGGGACAAACAGAAUCAAACCGUGGCAGCAAAAUGCUUUUCAGAUCACAGCUGAGCGGCCAGAUCCUCAAACAGCAGGGAGUCAAGAAAAGCGAGCAGAGUGUCUGGAAACAAACAGCUUCAGCUCCUGGUCCAGGUUGCAGUCGAUCAGAUUUGUGUCCCAGGAACGGAUUCCUGCACAACACAAACUAUUUUAAGACAUUUCAGGAAAAGAAAGGGGAAAAAAAAGACACCAAAUGUCAAGGCCUAAUGAUGACCUCCAAAUAAACUUUGCCAAGUCAUCAAACUAAAAAAGAAUCGAUCAAAACAAACAAAAAUGACAUCUCAUCCAUAAAAU